rnacentral:rRNA from 1 species
UACGUAGGGGGCAAGCGUUGUCCGGAUUUAUUGGGCGUAAAGAGCGUGUAGGCGGCCAUACAGGUCCGUUGUGAAAACUCGAGGCUCAACCUCGAGACGUCGAUGGAAACCGUAUGGCUAGAGUCCGGAAGAGGAGAGUGGAAUUCCUGGUGUAGCGGUGAAAUGCGCAGAUAUCAGGAGGAACACCGGUGGCGAAGGCGGGUCUCUGGGCCGAUAUUGACGCUGAGGAGCGAAAGCGUGGGGAGCGAACAGG